UACGUAGGGGGCAAGCGUUGUUCGGUGUCACUGGGCUUAAAGGGCGCGUAGGUGGUUGUGUAAGUAACGUGUGAAAUCCCUCGGCUUACCCGGGGAAUUGCAUGUUAUACUGCAUGACUUGAGGAUCAGAGGGGAAUGGGGAACUCCAGGUGUAGCGGUGAAAUGCGCAGAUAUCUGGGGGAAGGCCGGCGGCGAAGGCGCCAUUCUGGCUGAUACCUGACACUGAGGCGCGAAAGCGUGGGGAGCAAACAGG
rnacentral:rRNA from 1 species